UGAGAAAAGCAUCUGCUUAAUCGAGGAAAAACUCUUCAAACAGGGAAAUGAGUUGAACAAAGAGAAAAAGUGCUCCUCCACGCAGACUGAGAACGAGCAGGAAGCUGACAAAGGUAUUUAGAUGUGACAUGUUAUAAACUAUUUUCUAGAGGAGAUACAGAUUU